UAAAGUCAUGUUUAUUAAUCAAUUCAUGCAAUACUGAUAUACUGAUUUGAUUUGCACAAUAAAAUAAGAAACAAAAUGUUCAUACUGUCUGUUUAUAUAAUGGUACCAAUGUUUUGAAGGUAAAACAGUGAGAUGGUGCAACAGGCUGAGUAUACUGUAGCUAGCUAGACCUUCAAUAACAAACAGAUGGGCAGUUGGUUGAGUAUAGCUAGCUAGACCUUCAAUAACAGAUGGGUGGUUGGUUGAGUAUAGCUAGCUAGAGGUUCAAUAACAGAUGGGCGGUUGGUUGAGUGUAGCUAGCUAGACCUUCAAUAACAAACAGAUGGGCGGUUGGUUGAGUAUGGCUAGCUAGACCUUCAAUAACAAACAGAUGGGCGGUUGGUUGAGUAUAGCCAACUAGACGUUCAAUAACAGAUGGGCGGUUGGUUGAGUAUAGCUAGCUAGUAGUUCAAUAAGAGAUGGGUGGUUGGUUGAGUAUAGCUAGCUAGAUGUUCAAUAACAGAUGGGCGGUUGGUUGAGUGUAGCUAGUGUCAUGACGUUGGCCUGUGGGUAAGGUUUAUGACCCCCCCCCCAUAAAUACCUUUCCCCCUUCCCCUCUCUUACUGACCCUACUGAAGGACUGCUGUCCUGUUAAAUAUAGAGAGUCUGGGAACAUCAAACAAAUGUGGAAAGGUACCACAUAUUUUGUUAAUAAAACCAGUUGGAAAUAUGCUUGGGAACGUAAUGAGUAUGUAUGUCAGUUCGGUUGUCAUCUGAGACAUUAUGACUGAUGACAGGACGACAUAAACUGUAUCUGAGAAAGUAUACACCCUCUAGUUAUCAGAGUCACAUGGAAUUGUUAUGCAAUUGAAAUGUUUGAUAUUGAAAAUGUUUGUUAGGAGAUGAAAUGUAAUUUUAGCUUCCGAAGGAGAGAUUUGGGUUUUCAUAAGGAAAGUGCCCUGCUCGAUCAGUAACCCAACCCUGUGAAGAGACAGGGGUUAUAAACGAUGAAACACCUCCCUCCCCCUCCCCACUAUAUAAUCCUUUGACGAAAAGAUAACCAGGUAGUUCCAGUACGAGAGGCCUGCAGCCUCUACGUUAGAAGGACACACAUGUCAACUAAGCCAACCUCGGC
rnacentral:lncRNA from 1 species